rfam:Agaricus bisporus var. burnettii JB137-S8 unplaced genomic scaffold AGABI1scaffold_6, whole genome shotgun sequence.
GGCUACUUGGCGCAAUGGUAGCGCGUUUGGCUUCGAUCGCUGAAUGUCACCAAAAGGUUGCAGGUUCGAGUCCUGCAGUGGUCU